rnacentral:tRNA from 1 species
GCCCGUUAGCUCAGACGGUUAGAGCGCCGGGAACUUUAAGCUCGAGGUCGAGGGUUUAAGCCCUCCAUCGGGCG